UACGUAGGCAGCGAGCGUUGUUCGGAGUUACUGGGCGUAAAGAGUGUGUAGGCGGUUUGCCAAGUUUGGUGUGAAAUCUCCCGGCUUAACCGGGAGGGUGCGCCGAAUACUGGCAGGCUAGAGUAUGGGAGAGGGAAGCGGAAUUCCUGGUGUAGCGGUGAAAUGCGUAGAUAUCGAGAGGAACACCUGAGGUGAAGACGGGUUGCUGGGCCGACACUGA
rnacentral:rRNA from 1 species